rnacentral:piRNA from 1 species
UGUUAUGUGGUUAAUGCAGUAAA